GGAACAGUAUUAGUUUGCCCGACCGCUUUGCUUACACAGUAGUACUGUGUGACAGUACACAUACAUAACUUUGUUCGAGAUUUUAUCAGGGUCUUUUUUAGGGAUUUUUCCGGGGGGGGGGAUUUUUUGAAAAGGGUCCUUUCUAUGAGAUAAUAUAUUAGUGGGGGAUAGCUAUGUGGCCCACAUACUACGCAUGAAUCUCUUGGGGGGUCUGGGGGCAUACUCCCCGAGAAAAUGUUUGAAAUUUGAAGCUCG